UACAGAGGUCCCGAGCGUUGUUCGGAUUCAUUGGGCGUAAAGGGUGCGUAGGCGGCGCGGCACGUCUGCUGUGAAAUCCCGGGGCUCAACCCCGGAACUGCAUUGGAUACUGCCUUGCUUGAGUACUGGAGAGGGAACUGGAAUUUACGGUGUAGCAGUGAAAUGCGUAGAGAUCGUAAGGAAGGCCAGUGGCGAAGGCGAGUUCCUGGACAGUUACUGACGCUGAGGCACGAAGGCCAGGGGAGCAAACGGG
rnacentral:rRNA from 1 species